rnacentral:rRNA from 1 species
UACGAAGGGGGCUAGCGUUGUUCGGAAUUACUGGGCGUAAAGCGCACGUAGGCGGAUAUUUAAGUCAGGGGUGAAAUCCCAGAGCUCAACUCUGGAACUGCCUUUGAUACUGGGUAUCUUGAGUAUGGAAGAGGUGAGUGGAAUUCCGAGUGUAGAGGUGAAAUUCGUAGAUAUUCGGAGGAACACCAGUGGGCGAAGGCGGCUCACUGGUCCAUUACUGACGCUGAGGUGCGAAAGCGUGGGGAGCAAACAGG